ACGAGGUGGACGGAUCGGUCCUUGCAUUUGUUUGUUCGGGCCUAUCUACGUGGUUUUUUGUUUUUUUUUUUUUUUUGAUGAAAAGCCACAAUCCGGCCUUCAAAUCCUGGCCUUAUCAAAGCGAAUCAAAAGUCCUGCUUUUUCCAGCCGAGCAGGCCUUGUGGAAAUGAGAUGUACAUUUACCCUUGACGCACUGCAUGCCUGGCUGAGGCUCCCAGGUGCUGAACCCUUUAUCCUUUGGGAUAAUCCGUGUCUGGAGGGCACCAGGUCCUUUGGUCUUGAGAACAGAGCUUGGAGAUACACCCCAGCUCGCCAAAGACUGGCUUACACUAAAUCACACUGCGCUGACUUGCCUCGGCCAAAUCCAAAUGCCCCAAACCCCAGAUGGACUUCUGAUGCAAGCAGGCCAGAGAUUUCAGCUACCUUCCCUUCCUCGUGGGUUUGUUCAGCCCAUGUGGACUGGAUCCCGAGGUCAGUCCGAGUGGAUUGAAUCUCGUUUUUAUAAAUAAGGUCGACAUGGAAAGGCAUAUUCGCUAGUUAUGUUCGACUCAAUUAUUUCUACAAGGAAUGGUUGAAAGUGGUGAAGGUAAACAAAUUAUUGAUGAAUCUGGAGAUGCUGAAGACACGUGUUAUUAAAAUUUAUUUCAGAGAGUAUGGGAAACUUGUUAUUGGGGUGGUUAAGGGCAAGGCAGUUUUAUUUUGUUUUUGUUUUUCUUCCAAGUAUCUUUCAAAUUUGAAGUGUAACAACUGAAUCUGACUAUUAAGGAUUUAAACUUCAGUCCUGCAAAUGCCCAAUUAAAAGAUUUUUUUUUUCAAUAAAGCCUUGGAGCUAAA